rnacentral:rRNA from 1 species
CAUGAAGCUGGAAUCGCUAGUAAUCGCGGAUCAGAAUGCCGCGGUGAAUACGUUCCCGGGUCUUGUACACACCGCCCGUCACACCAUGGGAGUCGGAAAUGCCCGAAGUCUGUGACCCAACCUGAGAGGGAGGGAGCAGCCGAAGGCAGGUCUGAUGACUGGGGUGAAGUCGUAACAAGGUAAC